GAAAACCAAAAACGUCAAUUGCAAGCCUCAACCCCCUUCUUCUUCCCCAAACUGUUUUUCCUUUUGGUUUAUUUCUGCAUCAGAGUCUACCUAGGUUUCAAAACCAAUUUUCCAUUUUCCUAGAACCAGCCAAAUAUGGAGUGUGUGCAAAAACAUGGUAGCUUAAAAGAAGAAGAAAGAGAGAGGCAAAAAGCUUUCUAUGAUUUGGGGCACUGGUGAAGCACACUGAGGCAGCUGGAAGAUUAAAUUAAGUAUCAUAUCUGCUGACCCUAUUGCCAUGGUUACCGGACAGCGGAAAAUAUUCAUCAACCCGAGCCUUUUCAGAUGAAUGUGCUUGAAAAAAUACAAUAAAU
rnacentral:lncRNA from 10 species